AGCCAGCCUGCCCAGUGACUCAAUUCAACGGCCGCGGUAUCCUAACCGUGCAAAGGUAGCGUAAUCACUUGUUCUUUAAAUCAGGACUAGUAUGAACGGCAUCACGAAGGUUAUACUGUCUCCUUUUUCCAAUCAGUGAAACUAAUUUCCCCGUGAAGAAGCGGGGAUAUAACUAUAAGACGAGAAGACCCUAUGGAGCUUCAAACGACACAACAAAUGCUAAACUCCUUAAAAAUUUCAGAACCCCCCAACUCACUAUAGCACCAUGAUUGUUAGUUUUAGGUUGGGGUGACCGCGGAGCAAAACACAACCUCCACAUUGAAAGAAUUUUAUUCUAAGCCAAGAACCACAACUCAAAGCAUCAAUACACUGACAUAAUUGACCCAAUAAACUUGAACAACGAACCAAGUUACCCUAGGGAUAACAGCGCAAUCUACUUCAAGAGCCCCUAUCGACAAGUAGGUUUACGACCUCGAUGUUGGAUCAGGGUCUCCCGGUGGUGCAGCCGCUACUAAAGGUUCGUUUGUUCAACGAUUAAUACCCUACGUGAUCUGAGU
rnacentral:rRNA from 1 species